rnacentral:rRNA from 1 species
UACGUAGGGCGCAAGCGUUAUCCGGAAUUAUUGGGCGUAAAGAGCUCGUAGGCGGUUUGUCGCGUCGGGAGUGAAAACACGGGGCUUAACCCCGUGCCUGCUUCCGAUACGGGCAGACUAGAGGUAUGCAGGGGAGAACGGAAUUCCUGGUGUAGCGGUGAAAUGCGCAGAUAUCAGGAGGAACACCGGUGGCGAAGGCGGAUCUCUGGGCCUUACCUGACGCUGAGGAGCGAAAGCGUGGGGAGCGAACAGG